UACGUAGGAGGCGAGCGUUGUCCGGAUUUAUUGGGCGUAAAGAGCGUGUAGGCGGCCAGGUAGGUCUGCUGUGAAAACUCGAGGCUCAACCUCGAGACGUCGGCGGAAACCAUCUGGCUAGAGUCCGGAAGAGGAGAGUGGAAUUCCUGGUGUAGCGGUGAAAUGCGUAGAUAUCGGGAGGAACACCUGUGGCGAAAGCGGCUCACUGGACCACAACUGACGCUGAGGCGCGAAAGCUAGGGGAGCAAACAGG
rnacentral:rRNA from 1 species